AAACAUUGAUGGUAAAUUACACCUACCAUCCGCCUGGGAACUACGAGCAUUAGCUUAAAACCCAAAGGACUUGGCGGUGCUUUAGAUCCACCUAGAGGAGCCUGUUCUAGAACCGAUAACCCCCGUUCAACCUCACCCCUCCUUGUUAAAACCGCCUAUAUACCGCCGUCGUCAGCUUACCCUGUGAAGGUUAAAUAGUAAGCACAAUUGGCACAACCCAACACGUCAGGUCGAGGUGUAGCGUAUGGAGGGGAAAGAAAUGGGCUACAUUCCCUAUUAUAGUGAAAACGAAUGAUGCACUGAAACAUAAAUCUGAAGGAGGAUUUAGUAGUAAGUAGGAACUAGAGCGUCCC
rnacentral:rRNA from 1 species